GGUGGCUCACACCUGUAAUCCCAGCACUUUGGGAAGCCAAGGCAGGUGGAUGGCCUGAGGUCGGGAGUUCGAGACCAGCCUGGCCAGCAUGGUGAAACCCCAUCUCAACUAAAAAUACAAAAAUUAGCUGGGCAUGGUGGUGGGCACCUGUAAUCCCAACUACUUGGGAAGCUGAGGCAGGAGAAUCACUUGAACCCAGGAGGCGGAGGUUGCAGUGAGGCAAGAUUGCACCAUUGCACUCCAGCCUGGGCCACAGAGCAAGACUCCGUGUCCCAUCCCCCCACCAAAAAAACACACAUACACACACCAUGUCUGCCACUUCUGUGACAGUCCUCGAACCAAAAAAAAAAAAAAGAAGUCUAACUUCCUGCUUUGAAAAUGGGACAGCCCUAAGUGACUUGUUUCCAACAAAUAGAAAUACUUUGUGAUUUCUGAGGCUAGGUCAUAAAAGUAGACAGCUUGUGCCUGGCAUAUGCUCAUAUGCCCGCCCUCCCUUCCUGCAUUUCCUCAUAUGCUUUUGGAGUCUGGAGUUGUCAGUCACUCUGCCCUCAACAGGACUCCUCUGGGAAUGCAGAUGGAACCGGAAUGGUAGACAAAACUGGGGAAAGACAAUCACCUCUCCUUCUGUGACAAGAAUGUAAGACCAAAGAAGACUCAAAGGGCUUGAGGAACGAACCAUCUUCAGAAAACAAGAACCCUGUUCCUUGACUCUGUCACCUCUCUACACCACCUAUUAUUAUGAUGGGAAGACAGAGCCAAAACUGAGGCAGCAGUUUAGGAGAGGUUUGAGUCACUGGAAAGUAAAAAAUAAUCCUGAGUACUGUUCACUGAUACAGCCACCAUUUUGCCCUUAUAAUCUGUAAUCUUCACAACACCUCUGUUCCAAUUAAGAGUUUUUCAACAUGAGUGGUAGAAAAUCUGACCCAACUGGCUAAACCCCAAAAUUGGCAUGUUAGCUGAUACAGUAAAUAAGAUGAGACAAAUUGGCUUUGGGCAUGGCCUGAUCCAGAGCUCACAGGCCCUGAAAGCAGCCUGGUUUCUCUCUGUUUCUCAGCUCUGCUUGCUCAGUGUUAACUCUUCUCCAACAAGCUCUCCCGUCAUGGUUACAAGAGAGCUGCCAGCAACAAGUCCUGGGCUUUUUCCUUCCAGGUUAAAUUCUGUUGCAUAUUCAUUUAUGGAGUUAAUCACAUAAGCUAUGUGUAACCCAAUUUUCCCCAAACCUUAGCAACUUAGGACCAAAUCCAGUAGAAACAAGUGAGUCUGCUUCCCUGAGAGUUCAAAACAAGAGCCUAGGAAUUGAGUUUCUUUUCCUGUGGCUCAUCCAUGGGUCAGACACCAUGGUGAGGAGGAGGAAGAGUGCUGAGUGUCUGAGCUCAGGCCCUGUGCUCCCUCCAGGGCCAUCACUGUCACUGGAAGUACAUGGGCAGAGGUGGAGGAGGGCUGGCUCCCCAAGCAAAAUUAGGGCAGUGUUGCCAAAACAGUAAAUUCUAGGCAGCAAAGAUGGCAAUUGUCCACAACAAACCCUAUGAGACUGAAAUUAUUCUCGUUGUACAGAUGUGGAAAUUGAAGGUCUCAGAUGUUAAGUAACUUGCCCCAAAUCAUAUAGUGGCAUAGAUUGGAUUUUACCUCAUUAAUGUGUGCGAUGAGACUAAAAGGAUAGGUAGGUAUCUGCCAGGCAGACUGGAGCAAGGAGGGUGCUCAAAGCAAGGAUUUAUGAAUACACAGCAGUACGAGGGCAUUAGGGGAGUGGGGGGCCUUCAGGGAACUUGGAGUUAUGGGCAAAGUUAUAAGACAGUGUAGCAAAGGAAGAGCUCAGGCUCUGGUGUCAGAUGGAUCCAGACGUUAUUUACCAGCUAAAUAGGUUGCAGUGAGCUGAGAUUGCGCUACUGCACUCCAGCCUGGGCAAUACAGCAAGACGCUGUCUCAAAAACAAAAACAAA